rnacentral:rRNA from 1 species
UUUCGCAAUGCCCGAAAGGGUGACGAAGCGACGCCGCGUGUGGGAAGAAGGCCUUCGGGUUGUAAACCACUGUCGGGAGUUAGGAAAUGUAAGGGUGCUAAUAGUAUCCUUGCUUGACUAAGGCUCCGGAGGAAGCCACGGCUAACUCUGUGCCAGCAGCCGCGGUAAUACAGAGGCGGCAAGCGUUGUUCGGAAUUAUUGGGCGUAAAGAGCACGUAUGCGGCCUUGUAAGUCAGUUGUGAAAGCCUUCUGCUUAACGGAAGAACAGCAGCUGAUACUGCAAGGCUAGAGUGCGGAAGGGGAGAGUGGAACUUCUGGUGGAGCGGUGAAAUGCGUAGAUAUCAGAAGGAACACCGGCGGCGAAGGCGACUCUCUGGUCCGUAACUGACGCUGAGUGUGCGAAAGCUAGGGGAGCAAACGGGAUUAGAUACCCCGGUAGUCCUAGCCGUAAACGAUGGGCACUAAGUAGAGGGGUUUUA